AUUGAACGCUGGCGGCAGGCCUAACACAUGCAAGUCGAGCGAGCGGCGGACGGGUGAGUAAUGUAUGGGGAUCUGCCCGAUAGAGGGGGAUAACUACUGGAAACGGUAGCUAAUACCUCAUAUCAUCAGAUGAACCCAUAUGGGAUUAGCUUGUAGGUGAGGUAACGGCUCACCUAGGCGACGAUACCUAGCUGGUCUGAGAGGAUGAUCAGCCGCACUGGGACUGAGACACGGCCCAGACGCCUACGGGAGGCAGCAGUGGGGAAUAUUGCACAAUGGUCGCAAGCCGUAUGCAGCCAUGACGCGUGUAUGAAGAAGGCCUUCGGGUUGUAAAGUACUUUCAGCGGGGAGGCGUUACUCGCAGAAGAAGCACCGGCUAACUCCGUGCCAGCAGCCGCGGUAAUUC
rnacentral:rRNA from 1 species